AACGAACGCUGGCGGCAUGCCUAACACAUGCAAGUCGAACGAGACCUUCGGGUCUAGUGGCGCACGGGUGCGUAACGCGUGGGAACCUGCCCUUAGGUUCGGAAUAACUCCCCGAAAGGGGUGCUAAUACCGGAUAAUGUCUUCGGACCAAAGAUUCAUCGCCUUUGGAUGGGCCCGCGUUGGAUUAGCUAGUUGGUAGGGUAAAAGCCUACCAAGGCGACGAUCCAUAGCUGGUCUGAGAGGAUGAUCAGCCACACUGGGACUGAGACACGGCCCAGACUCCUACGGGAGGCAGCAGUGGGGAAUAUUGGACAAUGGGCGAAAGCCUGAUCCAGCUAUGCCGCGUGAGUGAUGAAGGCCUUAGGGUUGUAAAGCUCUUUUACCCGGGAUGAUAAUGACAGUACCGGGAGAAUAAGCUCCGGCUAACACCGUG
rnacentral:rRNA from 1 species